CCUACGGGAGGCAGCAGUGAGGAAUAUUGGUCAAUGGGCGCAAGCCUGAACCAGCCAAGUCGCGUGAGGGAUGACGGUCCUAUGGAUUGUAAACCUCUUUUGUCGGGGAGCAAGGCCCGCCACGUGUGGCGGGAAGGAGAGUACCCGAAGAAAAAGCAUCGGCUAACUCCGUGCCAGCACCCGCGGUAAUACGGGGGAUGCGAGCGUUAUCCGGAUUGAUUGGGGUUAAAGGGUGCGUAGGCGGAAGGUUAAGUCAACGGUAAAAUGUCGGUGCUCAACACCGGCCUGCCGUUGAAACUGGGCUUCUUGAGUGAGCGAGAAGUAUGCGGAAUGCGUGGUGUAGCGGUGAAAUGCAGAGAUAUCACGCAGAACUCCGAUGGCGAAGGCAGCAUACCGGCGCUCAACUGACGCUGAGGCACGAAAGCGUGGGGAUUGAACAGGAUUAGAUACCCGGGUAGUC
rnacentral:rRNA from 1 species